GCCCAUUUUGCCCGCCCGCCGAGAAGAGCCGUGCGCGGCCUACACGCUCCGGGGACCUCCCGCCAGCGGCAUCACUGCCCCCGCCGGCCUUCUCGCGCCCAGGGGACACUCUUUGGAAAUUGGGUCCCGAGUUAAGGUGUUCUUUUAUUUUGUUUCCAAGUUAGGGGCCCUAAAUUUGGGACCACUCUUUCACUGGACCACUUCCGGUAACCGGCCCGCGCCCCGUAACUUCGGUUCGGUGACCUCGGCUCGGAAUGCGCCUCGGCUCGCCCCGGGCUCACGUCCCGAUCUCGGCUUGAGUGGCCCGGGGUGGGUGACCUGAAGUUGUAGCCUCGCUGCUCUUGAGGCGGAUUAAUUAGCCCAAGAAACACUAUAUUCAUGCUUAGCUGGAGAAAAGCAGGGCUAGCAUUGGACCCCAAAGCCCAGGAUGGCAGGACAGGAUGUGGGGGCCCCACCCGAUCGCCUCUGGGUUCACCAAGAGGGUGUCUACCGCGACGAGUACCAGCGCACGUGGGUGGCCGUCCUCGAAGAGGAGACGAGCUUCCUAAGGGCCCGAGUUCAGCAAGUUCAGGUUCCUUUAGGUGAUGCAGCCAGGCCAAGCCACCUUCUCACCUCCCAGCUACCUCUCAUGUGGCAACUCUACCCCGAGGAGCGCUACAUGGACAACAACUCUCGCUUGUGGCAAAUCCAGCAUCAUUUAAUGGUCAGGGGCGUACAGGAGCUGUUGCUUAAGCUUUUGCCUGAUGAUUAACCGGGUGCUGGGAUUCUAGGAAGAGAUGCUCCACUGUUCUGUUCAGUAAAUGACAAUCACGACAUUCACCACUGCAGUGCACCCACCUGUGGGCCUGGGGGUGGGGUGGGGCACGGGGUGAAAAACUGCUCAAGAACACAGAAGUUUAGAAAGGGCCAUGAAGAACACGGAAAGUGGAACUGCAGAGGAAGGGUUAUGCAGGCAGAAAGCAAGCCAACACAAGCACGUAGUUAGGAUACGUAACUUGCCAUUGACUCCUUUGGAAAUUGCCAUAGACCCGUUAACGGACAUCAUCCGCUGGACCUGGGAUCUGAUGAAUCCCACAAAAGUCAGCACCUGCUACAGAACAGAUGCCCCGAUCACCAAGGACUUGGUACUGAUUUAGAGAGAAGAGAGCAACUGCUAGCAGCAUCAGCAUCUCUUUGUCGCUUAUUUGCCCUGCAGCAAUUCACCUGCCUUUCCUUCUCCCAUCCUGUAAAUAUCCUAGGUUUUGCGCCAGUGUUUCCCAUCCCAGUACUGACCUAACUCAGAUCUACUGAGAAGUUAGGGGGCUCUGAGGGGAAAAAAAGAGAGAAAGGAGAUUAUUUGCAUUCAUGAAAUAGCUACCAAGGCUCCUGGGCCUUUUUCCUUUCUGAAAUGGUGUCUUCACAUUAUUAGAAGUUGCUGAUCAGAAUCAUGGGCACUUAAGUUUAUUCUCUGGUUUCAAAUAUCUGAAGUUGGUUUCUGUAAGAACUCCAAGAAAAAAUUUAACUGCUUACCUAGCACCUUUCUCAGGAAGUAGUAAUAGCACCAAAUAUUGCUGAUUCACUACCCGAUAAAGACAUUCCCUGAGUUAAAAUACUCAUAGCACUUUAUGUACAUUAAAAGUAAGGUUUUACUUGUUAAAAAAUCUCGGGAAUAAUAGCAAUCAUGUGUUCAGUCCUUACUGCCUUCCAGGCACUGUUCUAUGCAGUUUAUCGCCUUUAUGACAUUUAAUCCUUCCAUCAGUGCUUUCAGGUAGGUAUUAUCCCUAUUUUACACAUCAAUAAUUAGGAAAAAGGCUCAAGGAGUUAAAUCGUUUGUAAAGGUGGUUCUGUAAGUCAUAGAGCCGUCAGGUUGCAGCUCUGGCUCCUCUAGCCCAAUGUUGGUUUACAGUGGUCAAGAUGAGUUGAAUUCAAGGGUUUUUUUCAAGCUAUUUAUAUCUUCCAAGCCAAAUGCAAUAUUAUACAAAUACAGCAUAUUCAUCCUCUGAAAUGGAAGAAUGUUUUAGUGUAAUUGUUUUCCAGCAAUUGUAAGAGCAUACUGCUUGUCUCAGAAGAAAAUUCCAUCUAGAGGGGGUUUAAAGUCUUUAUGUAUAAAAAACAAAAUAAACAUAAUUUUUCUUAUUUUAGUUUUCUGGAUAUGCCGCAGAAGGAUCCGUGCCAGAAACAAGCCUGUGAAAUACAGAAAUGUUUACAAGCCAACAACUACAUGGAAUCUAAGUGUCAGGCUGUCAUCGAAGAACUGCGUAAGUGUUGUGCUCGAUAUCCCAAGGGAAGAU